CCGGGGGGCGCCAGGCGGGGCAGCCUCACCUUCUCGCGGCUCUUGCGCUCCUCUCGCCGCCGCUCGAACUCCUCGAAGGAGAUCUUCCCCUCCAGACAACUUCCAGAUAGUGGACUCAUCAAGAACCAGAACAACAGUAGCAAUGGAAGAGCUUGUAAAAAGGUGGCCCCCGGUACAGGAGAACUUUCUUUGUUUAUUUUCUAGGUAAUUACUUAUUUCCAGUUUUAUUUUGUGUAUAAUUUACCUUCUAAAUCAACCAGCAGUGGGAAUACGUUCCUCUAGAGGAAAAAAAAAAAAAGCCAGAACAACAGGCAGUUUUCUUCUGUCUUCGCCCCCACCCCCAAUUCUUUCAUGCACUUAAUUUAUUCAGAAAGAAAAACCUUGGGGAUAUGCAGUAUAUUCAGAUAAUAAAACAUACCAAAGUCAUCUGUAGUUUGAAACAAGCUUUAUUACUGUUGGACUAUUAUGUUACCCCCUAACAGAAUUUAGGCAGUUUGGCUGACUGAUGAAGUAUGCAGAUAUGCAAGGGAGUGAAUUAGCAUGUAUUUCUCUGUGAGCUGUCUUUAAAAAACCCUACAAACUUGUAUUGUUGCUUUCCGAGCUAAAAGAGUCUGAGAAAUUGUUUGAGCUAAAAGUCUCUUUAGACUUAGUGCCCAUUUUAAUGUGGGGAUUGCGGUAGUUGUGGUAUUUUUGCCCAAAGUUUUUUGGUUGUGGGGUUUUUUUUUUGUUUGUUUUGUUUUUUGGUUCUUUUUAAAAGAAUUUCAUUAUAUCUCUUUCCUUCAGUGAAAGUCAAAUAUAAGUGGAACAUAUUCAUAUUAAAAUGCUAUUAGUAUGGUUACACUGAUUAGACAAAAUUGCAUCCUCCUUUGAGAACAGUAUGUAAUUUAACAAAUACUUUCCAAGACAGAUGUUAGUGUUCUGCCUUUUGAAUGCAGCCAAAUUUAAGCACUAGGUUUUUCUUGACAAGUUAUGUCUAUAGACACACAUCUUCAGUAAAUCCAAUCUUUUGAAAGGGGCUAUACUAAUUAUAUAGCCUUUAUGGCACAGUAAUAUUCAUAUAUAUUUGAAUUAAAUUGCACCGAAGCUGAAAAUGCUCAUAGCUUUGCAUGUUCAGUUUCAUGCAAGUUACUUCAAAAAGGUAAAAAUCUUGUUCUGGAACAAAAGGCAAAUUUAAAACUAAUUAGUUUAGCUGUAGAACAAGUUUUAUACAUGUAAUGUUUUAUAUAAACUAUAUUAUUCAUCAAACAUUUUCCAUUUUAUUGCAUUUCGAUGACAAGGCAUAUGUAACAGCCUAAGGUGCAUGAGAUAAGAUAUUGAGACAAGUUUCAUCAGGUAUGAUCUUUAUUGUUUUCUACUCAAGAUGUGAAAAAAGUGUCUGUUACCUGAAGUACUGCUCUAACCACAAUGCUUUUUUUCCACUGUUUUUAUUUUCUGGUUAGAACCCCAAGUAUUACAAGUUAGAAGGAAAAGCGCGAAACUGCUCCACAUGAGUACCUGAGCAAAGACUAAAGGCAAAUGUUUAUCACAACACUCAUUUGCACAUUUGUACAACAGAAGUACGGGUAACAUUCACCACAUGCUACACAGUAUGACUGUUCAUAUGCCUUUGGAAGAAAAGAAUGGAGAGUGGAGAUGCCCUGACACCAAUGCAGUGAUAAGAAAUGGAGUUCCUGGAAGGAGGAAGAACAGAAUAAAAGGAGUAAAUAAAGCAUGCAGGUGAAAAUCACAGAUGAUCAUUCAUGGAAAAAGAUACAGGAGGUAAUGCAACUCAGAGUAAAACAUUAGCUGUAGGAAUAAGUAACAAAGAAACUAAUGACUUGGCAGAUGCUAACCUCUAAUGACAAGAAAAAAACCUCAAAACACACAAUUGAAACAAAACAAAAUUGUAAGGAGAUGAAAAGAGGAGGAGAGUAUUUAAAACUAAACACACAAAAAACACUCAAAGAAACCCAAAGAAAACUGUCAGCAGCUUUUUCUGGCAAACUUCUUUUUUAACUAUGUUUGCAAAAAAGAACAGGUAGUUAUUAUCUGCUUGUAUCCGCACAUGCUUACAUCUUGGAUCCUGCACCUUAAAGUAACUGAAAAAACAAAGACAGUUCACAACGCAUGAAACCUAAUGCUUCUCCACUUCUUUUUAAACAGCUCACAAUAUACUGCAGUCUCAGUCCAUAUCCAUCUAAUAAAUCAUAUUUGUCAUCCCCUUAUUAAAAACACCCCUGAACUACACAGACUACCUAUCUGGAAAAAAAUAUUAACCUAUAGUACUUAUCAGCAUCUAGAAAUUAAAUUUAUUUCUUUAGAUGAGGCAUGCAUAAUCAAAUACCAAAAUUUAGACAAAAACUACUGUUCUGUAUGUAUUCAGAGACUAAAUUUUAUUCUUAAAUGAACCUGAAUCUAGUUCACACGUCAGUGAUCUUGAACAGUGAAUGCAACAGUCGUAAGUGAUGGAAUAGGCUACUUGUGUCCUGGCUUUUCUUUCACAUCAUGCACACAGUAAGUAAACAGCCAUCCAGUCCCCACAGCACAACCAAAUACUAUCCAAGGCAAGACGAUAACCAUUUGAAACGAACAGGUUUGCCAAACAAUUUUUGGUCACAAUUUUGACUAGAAGCUGGAA